rnacentral:tRNA from 1 species
UCUCUGGUGGCUCAGUCAGUAAAGCGUCUGCCUGCAAUGCGGGUGACCCGGGUUCGAUUCCUGGGUCGGGAA